CUCUGUCCCCCUCCACCCCCCCAAAAAAAACAACACUCAAAAAGUUUUUAGCUUUGAAUUAAAAAAAGGUGGAGGUGGGGCUUAAAUCAAUAACCUAAGUUUUUA